UACAAAUGGUUAAUAAUCACAGACUUUUACUUUCCUUUUCUAUAGUUAUUCCUAUAAUUUUCUAAUCUCUUCCCGCGGCAAAUAAACGGUAACGAAAAUCCACGAAAUCGUUUCGCGCUAGAUCUCUGUAUUUUUGUUACAUUUUUGGAUUUUAUUAUAUUAAAAUAGUAACCCAUUUGGCCAAAGAGAAGGAGCAUGGGUAACGGCGGCGGUGGCGGUUAUGGCGGCUACGGAAGAGGAGGCGGUGGUGGUGGUGGUGGCGGCGGUGGGUUGGGAGCCGGAAGUGGCGGCAGAGGAGGGAGCUACGGUAGAAACGGCCAGGAUGGAGAGGAUGGUUUUUUGUUUGGAGCUGGGGGCGGAGGGGGAGGCGGGGGUGCCGGCGGGGGACGAGGCGGAAGAGGAGGACGCGGGGGCAUUUUCGGCGCUAACGGCGAGGAUGGGAAGAAUGGACACUAACCCAUGGACUUUGACCGCACUGACGUUUGUGUACAUUGCAUUAAGUUAUUGACCUAAAUUAUAUAAUUCACAUUUCUGAGACAUUUUGAAAAACUUAAAAAAGUGCCGCUACUUAAGUUCUUAUACGAACUUGGUUUCGGUUUUAUAGGUAUUAUAUGAUACAUAUAUUUGUGUACUUUGAAUAUGCAAUUAAAUUUAAUUCCACUGUCACUAUUUUUGACGAAAUAACCGCCAAUGAUAUAAACUUACUUAUAUUUUAACCUUAGUAUCAACACGUUCAGUAUUUGUGUUUAAGCGAUGUCAUUUAUUGGCAUACGUGUUAUUUCAGCGAUUUUCAUUUGUAUUUGAUAUGUUCAUAAAACAGACAGAAAAUUGAGAAAAUGAAAAGAUAAAUCGAAUAAGAUAUAUUAUAUUGUU